AAGAUAGAGGUUGCGUAUUUCAAGAGUAAUUUUCCGGAUGUGGCAGGCACAGAGGAAGGAAAAGGAAAGGGGAGUGCGCCGAAAGGAAAGGAAGCUGGGCGUCCUGAACCUUGGGCAUACGGUUAAGAACCGUAUGACUGUCAUCUAGUUGCUUAGAUGGAGUGCUAUC
rnacentral:ncRNA from 1 species